UACGGGGGGGGGUAAGCGUUGUUCGGAAUUACUGGGCGUAAAGCGCACGUAGGCGGCUUCUUAAGUCGGUGGUGAAAUCCUGGAGCUCAACUCCAGAACUGCCUUUGAUACUGGGUAUCUUGAGUAUGGAAGAGGUAAGUGGAAUUGCGAGUGUAGAGGUGAAAUUCGUAGAUAUUCGCAGGAACACCAGUGGCGAAGGCGGCUUGCUGGGCCAGUUCUGACGCUGAGGAGCGAAAGCGUGGGGAGCGAACAGG
rnacentral:rRNA from 1 species